GCAGUCGAGCGAACGGACGAGAGUGCUUGCACUCUCUGAUGUUAGCGGCGGACGGGUGAGUAACACGUGGGUAACCUACCUAUAAGACUGGGAUAACUUCGGGAAACCGGAGCUAAUACCGGAUAAUAUUUAGCUUCGCAUGAAGCAAUAGUGAAAGACGGUUCUGCUGUCACUUAUAGAUGGACCCGCGGUGUAUUAGCUAGUUGGUGAGGUAACGGCUCACCAAGGCAACGAUACAUAGCCGACCUGAGAGGGUGAUCGGCCACACUGGGACUGAGACACGGCCCAGACUCCUACGGGAGGCAGCAGUAGGGAAUCUUCCGCAAUGGACGAAAGUCUGACGGAGCAACGCCGCGUGAGUGAAGAAGGUUUUCGGAUCGUAAAACUCUGUUGUAAGGGAAGAACAAGUACGUUAGUAACUGAACGUACCUUGACGGUACCUUACCAGAAAGCCACGGCUAACUACGUGCCAGCAGCCGCGGUAAUACGUAGGUGGCAAGCGUUAUCCGGAAUUAUUGGGCGUAAAGCGCGCGUAGGCGGUCUCUUAAGUCUGAUGUGAAAGCCCCCGGCUCAACCGGGGAGGGUCAUUGGAAACUGGGAGACUUGAGUGCAGAAGAGGAGAGUGGAAUUCCAUGUGUAGCGGUGAAAUGCGCAGAGAUAUGGAGGAACACCAGUGGCGAAGGCGGCUCUCUGGUCUGUAACUGACGCUGAGGUGCGAAAGCGUGGGGAUCAAACAGGAUUAGAUACCCUGGUAGUCCACGCCGUAAACGAUGAGUGCUAAGUGUUGGGGGGUUUCCGCCCCUCAGUGCUGCAGCUAACGCAUUAAGCACUCCGCCUGGGGAGUACGGUCGCAAGACUGA
rnacentral:rRNA from 1 species